UACGUAGGGGGCAAGCGUUGUCCGGAUUCAUUGGGCGUAAAGCGCUCGCAGGCGGCCAACCAAGCCGCGCGUGAAAUCCCUCGGCUCAACUGGGGGCGGUCGCGCGGGACUGGCUGGCUCGAGGCCGGUAGGGGGAAGCGGAAUUCCGGGUGUAGUGGUGGAAUGCGUAGAGAUCCGGAGGAACACCAGUGGCGAAGGCGGCUUCCUGGACCGGUCCUGACGCUCAGGGGCGAAAGCGUGGGUAGCGAUCCGG
rnacentral:rRNA from 1 species